rnacentral:lncRNA from 1 species
UAUUUUUGUUUUUUAUCAUUUUUGUGCCAAAGAGAAAAAGGAAAGAAACAAGGAAGGCAAUAAAACUGUUGUUGCCCUCUUUUCCCUUCUUUUGGACGGGUUACCUAGGUGGGUCAGACCUUAUCCAACAAAUCGUGGUUGCAGCGAAGGGUUCAAUUCUGCCCAGCCUGAGGCUCAUUUGGCACCACAGCUCUCAGUGUAAAUACGGGCCAGGCGAUUGCAACUGCAUUCAUGGCAGAUUUCCCGGAGCCAGCCCACAUUCUUUCUGGCCAAAGGUCUUGACUCGGCGAGGAAACCAUCCAAAUGGGGAAUUUCAUCUUUCCUUUUCAAUGCUACAUAUUUUUUCAAACUUAAUGGAAAACACAAUCAUUCAAUUCACAGCAAAAGAUGACCUAAACAUUAACAUCAUAUAUAUAUAUAUACUGAAUAUCGAUUUUAGUAAAC